UAUGGUCGUAUAUUGAGGCUGUCGAUUGUCAUUCAUGUUGGGACGCCUUUAAUAUAGUCGUAUAUUGAGGCUGUCGAUUGUCAUUCAUGUUGGGACGCCUUUAAUAUGGUCGUAUAUUGAGGCUGUCGAUUGUCAUUCAUUUCAUCUUUUAACCGUGUUAUAACCGAUAGCCUAGCAUACAACGUAAUUUAAUAAAUCUCGCUGGGAUGUGGCAUAUCACCAUUUGCCUGGCACUGCCGUUUGCACUCUUAGGCACGUAAUUGUAUCUCAAGUUUUAUUGAAGUCUGAAACUGGGACUCGGCAACACUUGAUUUUGAGCAAAAAGCCAUUCCAGGGAUUUAUGCCGUAGUGAACAAACGAGCAACUAUUGUAGUGAAUAAAGAAGAAAUAAGUGAAUAGAAAAGACAACACAUUGAAAUUUAACCACCGAAAAAAGAUGAAGCUGGCCGGUUUCCUUUGCGCGGUUCUUAUCGUCGGGAUCAUUGCUAGCCAAGUUGCCGACGUCGACGCUUGGAGGUAUGGAUAUCGUUGCUGUCGCAGGUUACGCUGCGACUAUGACCAAGAAUGCGUGACGUAUGGAAGACGCUGUAGAUGCAGGGAUAAAAUUGUGAUGUCGUACAUGCUGCAAAUACCUGACAAUACAUAUGAUCAGCCGAGUUUCCGGUAUCCAGCCUAGCAAAUAUCGAGCCAAGCGGAAGUGCAUACUGAAUGUGGUUUUUUCUCAGAUACGUUAGAUCUUUACUUGGUGUGUUAAUUGCCUACGUUAUCUCUGCUAGAGAAGAGCUUUUAUCCGACAUAGUUCCCGUCCACGCAUGAUAUUCUAUUCCGGCCUUAUACUUCUUGAUGUAACUUUAGCUUUCUCUUCGUUCCCUUAGUUCCUAAGACAGAAACCUUUGGAGUUGCCGAUUUUAUGAAAAUGAGACCAUCUGAAAAUGCAUUGAGAAUUCGACCCAUGAGAACUCGAGCCAUCCAAUCGAAUUUUAUACGAACAGUUAAAAGAAAUCGGUCCUUCUUAAACAGUUCGAGCCAACGAGGUCUUCGAGCCAAACGAUAUCGAGCCAACGAAUUUUGACUGUGGUUCCUACUAGAAUAGUGAUGUACUCCUAAAAGAUCAGAGGUCAGUCUAUGCGUUUUGCUCGGAGAUGUCGAAGAACAACAAUUUUGAACGAAAAAAACACUACGUCUGUCCUUUUUUACUACAAAAGAUUUUCAAUGACGGCGUUAGCCUGGAAAAAAUCUAAAAAUUGUAAUUCAAGCGCCCUGCUUUAAGAAAUGAUUACGAUGUCUCUGCUUAUCAACUGAUCACGAUUAUCUGUGUUCUUAACAUUUACAUACUAUACAUCAUACCGCAUUUAACAAUGUAUCAUUUUGAUACAGAUACAAAUAUUUUUUGUAGAUCUAGUAACUAUCUCAACAAAUAAAGGAUGCAUAAUUGA